rnacentral:snoRNA from 1 species
CUGUCUCAGGGAUGAACCUGUUCCUGAUAUUUAAUGCCAUUAGCUUCACUAUGUCAGCAAAGUUUUCUCUGUCUUCUCUGAUCAUUCAGAAUGGGGAAAUC